UUCCGUAGGUGAACCUGCGGAAGGAUCAUUGUCGAAACCUGCCUAGCAGAACGACCCGCGAACCAGUGAACGAAAAAAGCACGCGGUGCGGGGGUGCGUCAGCCCCUCGCCCGCCGCGUCGCGCGGGGUGCGGUCGGCUCCUCGUCCUCGAGCGUCGCUCCGCUCCCCCCGUGGCACAACAACGAACCCCGGCGCGGGCUGCGCCAAGGAAAUUAUAACGAGAGAGCUCGCUCCCGUCGCCCCGGAGACGGUGUGCGUGCGGGCAGCGGCGCCUUCUUUCACCGAUCCAAAACGACUCUCGGCAACGGAUAUCUAGGCUCUCGCAUCGAUGAAGAACGUAGCGAAAUGCGAUACUUGGUGUGAAUUGCAGAAUCCCGUGAACCAUCGAGUCUUGAACGCAAGUUGCGCCCCCAAANCCUUUUAGGCCGAGGGGCACGUCUUGCCWUGGGUGUMACGCAUUGUUGCCCCCCCACCCCCCGCACCGCGGGGAGGUAUGCGGAGGGGCGGAAAAUGGCCUCCCGUGCGCCGUUCGGAUCGCGGUUGGCCCAAAUCCGAGUCCCCGGCUUCGCGUGCCGCGACUUUCGGUGGUCGAAACAAACCUCGAUGUCCCGUCGCGCCCGCGUCGUCGUAGCGCGGACUCCUCGACCCUUACGCGUCGCCAAGCCGCGACGCUCGCUUCGCGA
rnacentral:rRNA from 1 species